rnacentral:miRNA from 1 species
AUCUGUCUGUGUCUCUGAGCAG